UACAGAGGGGGCAAGCGUUAUUCGGAAUUAUUGGGCGUAAAGGGCGCGUAGGCGGCUUGCAAGUGGUGGGUGAAAUCCCUCGGCUUAACCGAGGAACUGCCCUCCAAACUGCGUUGCUUGAGUCCGGGAGAGGUGAGUGGAAUUCCCAGUGUAGCGGUGAAAUGCGUAGAUAUUGGGAGGAACACCAGUGGCGAAGGCGGCUCACUGGACCGGAACUGACGCUGAGGCGCGAAAGCGUGGGGAGCAAACGGG
rnacentral:rRNA from 1 species